rnacentral:tRNA from 2 species
AGGGGACGUAGCUCAGCUGGGAGAGCAGUUGCUUUGCAAGCAUCAGGUCGUCGGUUCGAUCCCGUCCGUCUCCACCA